rnacentral:rRNA from 1 species
GUGUCAGCAGCCGCGGUAAUACGUAGGGGGCAAGCGUUGUCCGGAUUUAUUGGGCGUAAAGAGCGUGUAGGCGGCUUUACAGGUCUGCUGUGAAAACUCGAGGCUUAACCUCGAGACGUCGGUGGAAACCGUAUAGCUAGAGUCCGGAAGAGGAGAGCGGAAUUCCUGGUGUAGCGGUGAAAUGCGCAGAUAUCAGGAAGAACACCCGUGGCGAAGGCGGCUCUCUGGGACGGUACUGACGCUGAGACGCGAAAGCGUGGGGAGCGAACAGGAUUAGAAACCCGGGUAGUCC